rnacentral:tRNA from 1 species
GCCUGGGUGGCUCAGCCGGUUGAGCACCUGACUUCAGCUCAGGCCAUGAUCUCGCGGUUCGUGAGUUCGAGCCCCUCAUUGGGCU